ACAAGAGGCCGCGCACGGCACCCCCAGCUAGCCCCCGCCGCGCCAUGUCCCGCCUCGACGCGGCCUCGCUCCUCUUCCCCGCCUGGCCGUGGCCGCCGCGGGCCAAGCCCCACCCCCGCGGCCGCCUCCUGUGCCUCGGCCUCUCCGCCACGCUCUCGCCUCCCUCGCGCUCCGCCCCGCGCCCACCCCGGGCCCCAACUACGGCGCGCUCUUCCUCUCCCUCGGCUCCAACGACACCGCCGCCGCGCACCUCCGCGCGCUCACCCUCCACCCGCACGUCGCGGGCACCAGGGCCAACUCCCUCGCCGCCCGCUACGUGCGCGACGCGCUCUCCUUCCCCGCCCACGUCACGCCCUACUCCGUGCUCCUCUCCUACCCCGUCCACCGCUCCCUCUCCCUCUCCGCGCCGGGCCGCGGCGCCACCUCCUUCGCCCUGAGGCAGGAGACCUACCGGGGCGACCCCUACGCGGCCGCCGCGGCGGAGGCCAUCCCGACGUUCUACGCGUACGCCGCGUCCGGGUCGGUCUCCGCGGAGGCCGUGUACGCCAACUACGGCCGCGAGGAGGACUUCGCCUACCUCGCCGCCCGCGGCGUCCACGUCGCGGGCAAGGUCGCGCUCGCGCGGUACGGGAGGAUCCACUGCGAGGACAUCGCGCACAACGCGCGCGCCGCGGGCGCCGCGGGCGCCGUGGUGUACACGGACCCGCUCCAGUACGGCGGCGCCCCCGGGGAGGCGCCGUUCCCGGACUCCCGGUGGCUGCCGCCCAGCGGCGUGAAGGUGGGCAGCCUGUUCCGUGGCGUGGGCGACCCGACCACGCCGAUGUGGGCGUCGUCCGACGGCUGCGAGCGCCUCAGCGUGGAGGAGGCCAUGCGCACCGACGACAUGCCGCUCAUCCCGGCGCUGCCGGUGUCGGCGCGCGACGCCAUGGAGAUACACGGCGCCAUCGGCGGGGCCGUGGCGCCGCCGGGCUGGCAGGGCCGGGAGGACAGCCCCGUGUACCGCCUCGGGCCCGGGCCGGCGGUUCUGAACCUGACGUAUCUUGGGAACGAUACAAUGGCAACGAUCGAGAAUGUCUUUGCCAUCAUCGAAGGCGCUGAAGAGCCAGAUAGGUAUGUUAUUCUGGGUAACCAUCGUGAUGCUUGGACAUUUGGAGCAUCCGACCCCAACAGCGGAACUGCAGCUAUGAUUGAGUUAGCUCAAAGGUUUUCGGUGAUGCAAAAGCAAGGUUGGAGACCUCGACGAAUCGUUAUCUUCUGUAGCUGGGAUGCGGAAGAAUAUGGAUUGACAGGAUCGACUGAAUGGGUUGAAGAAAACCAGGAGAUGCUAUCUUCUAGAGCUGUUGCUUAUCUUAAUAUUGACGUUUCAGUCGUUGGCCCAGGAUUCCUGCCGUCUACAACUCCCCAACUUGAUGAGUUGCUUCAGGAAAUAACUAAAGUGGUUCAAGAUCCUGACAAUUCAUCUCAGUCUGUAUAUGAUUCAUGGAUCAAAUCAAAUGGUUCUCCAAAGGUUCUAAGACUAGGUGAUGGAGGAUCUGACUACUCAGCCUUUGUCCAACAUGCUGGUAUUCCUUCAAUGAAUAUAGUGUUUGGUGAAGGACCAGGUUAUCUGGUUUACCACUCCUUAUAUGAUGACUACGUGUGGAUGGAAAAAUUCGGAGAUCCUGGGUUCCGAAGGCAUGUUGCAGCUGCUAGCAUAUGGGGAAUGAUGGCUUUGAGGCUGGCCAAUGAUGAGAUUAUACCCUUCAAUUACAUGUCCUAUGCAAUCGAGCUUGAGACAUACACAAAGGUAUUGGAGAAUGGAUUAAAGGGAACAGCGGUUACUUGUUCCCCAUUGUACAACUCAAUCAGAGAUCUCAGAACGGCAGCUACCAAAGCCAACAACGAACAAAAGGAACUUCGAGAGCAACUGCUGAGCAAGCAGCUGAACAAGGAUUCGAUGAAAAUCCGACAGCUCAAUGACCGGCUCAUGCAGGCCGAGCGAGCAUUCACUAGCAGGGAAGGCAUCUUCAAGCAAGAAUGGUUUAAGCAUCUGGUGUAUGGACCUUCAGACCAGAACGACUGGGAUACUGCAGUCUAUCCCGGUAUAGCCAAUGCCAUAGCCAGCGCUCGGAGCAGCAACACCUCGGAGUCCUGGAAGUCUGUACAGCAUGAGAUUUACAGAGUGGCCAGGGCCGUGGCACAGGCAUCUGCUGUACUGAGUGGCCGUCUGACAUGAGAGAACUGGAAUCGAUCACCUGUCAAAAAAAAAAAAAAGACGUUUCGGCAGUUACAGCAUAGAGGCCCAGGAUAAUCUCAUGUCCCCUGCCGGCGACUACUGAUCGUCCGGGUAAUUCGGUUCCCGACGGAUACGAUACGGAGGAUAUAUAAUAUCAAGUUGUAAUCGAUUCCAACAAAUUUACAGCGAAUUUUAGUAUGCUGCCCGCAGGAGUACUUUGUGUAUCUGUAUACAAAUAGCAGUUUAAAACAUGUAAAUUUCUCGCCUUGCUCUUUGCUUGAGAACUUGUUGCUGUCAAAUGUAUAAUAGGAUAUUUCCUGUUUCUCGCCGUGCAACCAGUUGAUGCAACCGUGAGCUUCUGCAGAAAGAACACCAGUUAACUGAA